GCUUAGAAGCAGCCAUCAUUUAAAGAAAGCGUAAUAGCUCACUGGUCGAGUCGGCCUGCGCGGAAGAUGUAACGGGGCUAAACCAUGCACCGAAGCUGCGGCAGCGACGCUGAUGCGUUGUUGGGUAGGGGAGCGUUCUGUAAGCCUGUGAAGGUGUACUGUGAGGUAUGCUGGAGGUAUCAGAAGUGCGAAUGCUGACAUAAGUAACGAUAAAGCGGGUGAA
rnacentral:rRNA from 1 species